rnacentral:snRNA from 1 species
GCCCGCAGCGAUACUGACGUGC